rnacentral:rRNA from 1 species
CGGGGUGCACCAGGCGCGAAAACUCUACAAUGCAGGCAACUGCGAUAGGGGAACAUCGAGUGAUCCUCAUAUUGGGGGUCUGUCCACCCGUCUAAAAAACGGGUGUUAGCAAGGGCCGGGCAAGACCGGUGCCAGCCGCCGCGGUAAUACCGGCGGCUCGAGUGGUGGCCGAUAUUAUUGAGUCUAAAGGGUCCGUAGCCGGCUUUGCAAGUCUCUCGGGAAAUCCAGCGGCUUAACCGUUGGUCGUCCGGGGGGUACUACAUUGCUUGGGACUGGGAGAGGUAGGAGGUACUCAGGGGGUAGGAGUGAAAUCCUGUAAUCCUUUGGGGACCACCGGUGGCGAAGGCGUCCUACCAGAACAGGUCCGACGGUGAGGGACGAAAGCUAGGGGCACGAACCGGAUUAUGAUACCCGGGUAGUCCUAGCAGUAAACGAUGCUCGCUAGGUGUCACCACAGUCGUGAACUGUUGUGGUGCCGUAGGGAAGCCGUGAAGCGACCCACUUGGGAAGUACGACCGCAAGGUUGAAACUUAAAGGAACUGGCGGGGGAGCACAAGGGCGAUUCGCG